AGUGAACGCUGGCGGUAGGCUUAACACAUGCAAGUCGAACGGCAGCACAGUAAGAGCUUGCUCUUACGGGUGGCGAGUGGCGGACGGGUGAGGAAAAUAUCGGAAUCUACUUUUUCGUGGGGGAUAACGUAGGGAAACUUACGCUAAUAUCGCAUACGACCUACGGGUGAAAGCAGGGGAUCUUCGGACCUUGCGCGAUUGAAUGAGCCGAUGUCGGAUUAGCUAGUUGGCGGGGUAAAGGCCCACCAAGGCGACGAUCCGUAGCUGGUCUGAGAGGAUGAUCAGCGACACUGGAACGUAGACACGGUCCAGACUCCUACGGGAGGCAGCAGUGGGGAAUAUUGGACAGUAGGCGCAAGCCUUAUCCAGCGAUACCGCGUGGGUGAAGGAGGCCUUCGGGUUGUAAAGCCCUUUUGUUGGGAAAGAAAAGCAGCAGGUUAAUACCCCGCUGUUCUGACGGUACCCAAAGAAUAAGCACCGGCUAACUUCGUG
rnacentral:rRNA from 1 species